CCCGGAGCAAGACCAAAUAGGGGAGCUUCCGUGGCGACACGGUGAGGCGUGGCCCGCGCCGCUCCCGGGUAGGUCGCUCGAGGUGCCCGGUGACGGGCAUCCCAGAUGAAUGACUGUCCACGACAGAACCCGGCUUAUCGGCCGUCUCCCGCA
rnacentral:RNase_P_RNA from 1 species